UGGCCGAAGGGCUGGCGAUGGGCUGCCGUGCUGUUCGCGGAGAGGUGUGAUAGGAAGUGCUGUAGGAGGAUGAGAGCAUUGCCGUGAGAGCCAUGCAGAAGGCUAUAGCCCUCAUGUUGAUAUGAAAAACCAUCUCAGCACUCACUUCACUACCUGCACACAUUUGUGUUUAACGCACCGCCAUUUGAUUAAUACCUCUAUAUAUAGGCGAGAUGAGUUGCGCGUCUCUCUCUCUUUCUCGUUCCUCCUCUCUCUAGUUAGAAGAACUGAAAGUGGUGGAGAAGAAAAACUUUGGAGCAUAGCAUGGAGUAUGGGCUGGAUUGCCCGGAAUCCACGGCAUGAUAUAUUGGUCCCACAUGUUGACAUAUGUGGAAAGGAACUGGGAACAAGAUAACUACAGAUAAAAGCAGAAGCAGAAGUCCAUGGAAAAGAGUGCGACCACGCGUGGAAAUUUGUUGACCGGGCCCAGAAGCUAUUGACUUCAUUAUGAUGCAGAGCGAAGUUGCGAUCGCUUUCAUGGCGGGACAUGCCGUAUCUUCUCCACUUCUUCGUGUAUUUGUACCUACUUAUAUAUCACUUUAUCCCUGGUGUUUAUUUUUGUAGUACGACAUAUUUGAUAGUUCUUUACCUAAUCCCAAGGUAAUGUUGUAAUUUACUCAAAAUGCAGUGUACAUGAAACUUUAAAAAAUUAGAAUACGUUUUGAGUUUGAAG